AGGACGAGGAUAACUAUUGGAAACGAUAGCUAAUACUGGAUAGGAUAUUAGAUCGCAUGAUCUUAUAUUUAAAGAAGCUUUCAAGCUUCACCUUUGGAUGGUCUUGCGCUGUAUUAGCUAGUUGGUGAGGUAACGGCUCACCAAGGCGACGAUACAUAGCUGGUCUGAGAGGACGAACAGCCACACUGGGACUGAGACACGGCCCAGACUCCUACCGGGAGGCAGCAGUAGGGAAUUUUCGGCAAUGGGCGCAAGCCUGACCGAGUAAUGCCGCGUGAACGAUGAAGGCCUUCGGGUCGUAAAGUUCUGUUAUUUGGGAAGAACACAUAGUCUAGGAAAUGAUUCUAUGUUGACGGGUACCUUAUCAAGAAAGCUCC
rnacentral:rRNA from 1 species